UGGGACGACAUCUAGGGUUCCGUUUUAUAAGUAUCUGCUUCGCACCCCAGAGCCAUCUUCUCGACGGCUCGCAGGAAUUCAGAUUCGAAAAUGCCUAAGCAAAUCCGCGAGAUUAAGGAUUUCCUUCUGACGGCAAGAAGGAAGGAUGCUCGAUCAGUGAAGAUUAAGAGGAGCAAAGAUGUCGUCAAGUUCAAGGUCCGGUGCUCAAAGUACCUCUACACUCUCUGCGUUUUCGAUCAAGAGAAGGCCGACAAGCUCAAACAGUCUCUUCCUCCAGGUCGGAGUGUGCAGGACCUGUGAGAUUGAGAAAGGGUUAUUUUGAUUGGUAAGAAAAGCGAAGCCGCCUGCUUAUUUAGGUUUGGAUCAAUGUCAUGUCGUUUUUCAUUUGGUUGUUCUGAAGUUACUCGGAAUGCUGGAAGCGGUCUUGCUUUGUCUUUUCUAGUAGUUUCAGAUUCAUGCCCUCAUGUUGAUUUGUUCUCCCCGUUUUCUUCU